GAUGAACGCUGGCGGCGUGCCUAAUACAUGCAAGUCGAGCGAACGGACGAGAAGCUUGCUUCUCUGAUGUUAGCGGCGGACGGGUGAGUAACACGUGGAUAACCUACCUAUAAGACUGGGAUAACUUCGGGAAACCGGAGCUAAUACCGGAUAAUAUUUUGAACCGCAUGGUUCAAAAGUGAAAGACGGUCUUGCUGUCACUUAUAGAUGGAUCCGCGCUGCAUUAGCUAGUUGGUAAGGUAACGGCUUACCAAGGCAACGAUGCAUAGCCGACCUGAGAGGGUGAUCGGCCACACCGGAACUGAGACACGGUCCCGACUCCUACGGGAGGCAACAGGAGGGAAUCUUCCGGAAAGGGCGAAAGCCUGACGGAGCAACGCCGCGUGAGUGAUGAAGGUUUUCGGAUCGGAAAACUCUGUUAUUAGGGAAGAACAUAUGUGUAAGUAACUGUGCACAUCUUGACGGUACCUAAUCAGAAAGCCACGGCUAACUACGUG
rnacentral:rRNA from 1 species